rnacentral:rRNA from 1 species
GAGUUUGAUCCUGGCUCAGGACGAACGCUGGCGGCGUGCCUAAUACAUGCAAGUCGAACGAAACUUUCUUACACCGAAUGCUUGCAUUCAUCGUAAGAAGUUGAGUGGCGGACGGGUGAGUAACACGUGGGUAACCUGCCUAAAAGAAGGGGAUAACACUUGGAAACAGGUGCUAAUACCGUAUAUCUCUAAGGAUCGCAUGAUCCUUAGAUGAAAGAUGGUUCUGCUAUCGCUUUUAGAUGGACCCGCGGCGUAUUAACUAGUUGGUGGGGUAACGGCCUACCAAGGUGAUGAUACGUAGCCGAACUGAGAGGUUGAUCGGCCACAUUGGGACUGAGACACGGCCCAAACUCCUACGGGAGGCAGCAGUAGGGAAUCUUCCACAAUGGACGCAAGUCUGAUGGAGCAACGCCGCGUGAGUGAAGAAGGUCUUCGGAUCGUAAAGCUCUGUUGUUGGUGAAGAA